AUAUCGUGUGUUCUUAAAUGUUGGUUAAUUUUGUAUAUUAAAACGUUAGAAACUAGUGCCGAACGAUGAAUUGUAACUCGCGCAACGUAAGUCCAAAACCAUUCGAGCGCCCGCAGUGCCGACCGGGGCGCGGCAGGUAUUUAAGUGCUGGAUGGAGUGGCAGCCAGAGGAGCAGGCGUGGCAGACGUACGUGAAUUUCGAGCUGCGCUUCAAGGAGAUUGAUCGGGCGCGCGAGGUCUAUGACCGCUUUGUCUACGUGCAUCCGGACGUCAAGAAUUGGACCAAGUUCGCCAAGUUCGAGGCGUCCCACGACCUCAUCCAUGGCACGCAGCGUGUCUUCGAUCGGGCAGUGGAGUUCUUCGAUGAGUAAAUCCAGGAGCGACUGUUCGUUGCAUUUGCCCGCUUCGAGGAGGGCCGGAAGGAGCACGACCGGGAGCGCAUCAUCUACAAAUACGGACUGGACCACCUGCCCAAGGACCGAACCCAGGAGCUAUUUUAGGCCUACACCAUACACGACAAGAAGUACGACAAACGGGAUGGCAUCGAGGAGCUGAUACUGCACAAGCCGUUCCCAUUCAGCAAGCUGUGGCUGCUCUACGCCCAGUUCGAGAUCCGCUACAAGGAGCUGCAGCGGGUUCGCAAGGCCCUUGGCCUGGCCAUCGGUAUGUGUCCGCGCGACAAGCUCGUUUUCGGCUACAUCGACCUGUAGAUCCAAUUGCGCGAGUUCGAGCGCUGCCGGCUGCUGUACGAGCUGUUCCUGGAGUUCGGACCGGAGAACUGUAUCACAUGGAUGAAGUUCGCCGAGCUGGAGAACUUCCAAGGCAACACGGAGCGGAGCAGCACCGCUGUGGCGGCGGCACUCUUUUCUUACGUGUGUAUACAUAAAAUUAACUAACUUUCAAUUUUACAGUCCCGUUCCUGAAAGAAACGGCUUAUUUUCAUAUAUCGGUAUAUACCGAUAACGACAGCACAAAAUCAAAAUACCUUUGUACGAUAACGAGCCUAAAGUGGUGAAACAUGAGCUGGCCAUACUACAAAACGCUUGUGAAAAAUAAGCUGGUCACACUACAAAAAAGCUUUAAAUGUAAGGAUGGCAGACUAGCUUAUUUCAAGAUAGAUUUAAAGCUCUGCUACAAUAUUGGUAAAAGGACAUCUCUAAUUUUCACCUCGUGCAGUAAAAUUAUUUUAUUUUAUAUUUAAUUAAGUAAGAAAAGAAAUACAGAAGCUAUGGAACGGCCCCAAAAGAUGGCCAAGGUGAACAACAUGGCGCCAGCGGAGGUGCAGAUAACGGCAAAGUAGCUGCUCCAUGAGGCCAAGAAACGGGACUUGGAGAUUCAGGCCCAACAGCAGCAGCAAGUGACCGCCCAGCAAAAGCAGGCGGCGGCGCAGGCUCAGCAUCAACAGAGGGAACAGCAGCAGCAGCAGCAACUGGUCAAAUCCAGGCGCAGGCCCAACAGCAGCAGGCGCUUGCCAACGCCAUUCAACAGAUCCUACAGGUGGUCCCAAACACCUUCAUCACCUCGCAUCAGCAGGCUCAGGCGCAGCAGCAACAGCAACGGAGCCACUGAGGCGCUUCGAGGAGGGCCAGAGCGCGCAUCAUGUACAAAUACGCGCUGGGCCACCUGCCCAAGGACCGAACGCAGGAGCUAUUUAAGGCCUACACCAUACACGACAAGAAGUACAGCAAUCGGAAUGGCAUCGAGGAGCUGAUACCGCACAAGCAGUUCACAUUCAGCAAGCUGUGGCUGCUCUACGCCCAGUUCGAUAUCCGCUACAAGAAGCUGCAGCGGGUUCGCAAGGCCCUUGGCCUGGCCAUCGGUAUGUGUCUGCGCGACAAGCUCGUUUUCGGCUACAAUUGCGCAAGUUCGAGCGCUGCCGGCUGCUGUACGAGCAGUUCCUGGAGUUCGGACCGGAGAACUGUAUCACAUGGAUGAAGUUCGCCGAGCUGGAGAACUUCCAGGACAACACGGAGCGGAGCAGCACCGCUGUGGCGGCGGCACUCUUUUCUUACCACAAAAUCAAAAUACCUUUGUACGAUAACGAGCCUAAAGUGGUGAAACAUGAGCUGGCCAUACUACAAAACGCUUGUGAAAAAUAAGCUGGUCACACUACAAAAAAGCUUUAAAUGUAAGGAUGGCAGACUAGCUUAUUUCAAGAUAGAUUUAAAGCUCUGCUACAAUAUUGGUAAAAGGACAUCUCUAAUUUUCACCUCGUGCAGUAAAAUUAUUUUAUUUUAUAUUUAAUUAAGUAAGAAAAGAAAUACAGAAGCUAUGGAACGGCCCCAAAAGAUGGCCAAGGUGAACAACAUGGCGCCAGCGGAGGUGCAGAUAACGGCAAAGUAGCUGCUCCAUGAGGCCAAGAAACGGGACUUGGAGAUUCAGGCCCAACAGCAGCAGCAAGUGACCGCCCAGCAAAAGCAGGCGGCGGCGCAGGCUCAGCAUCAACAGAGGGAACAGCAGCAGCAGCAGCAACUGGUCAAAUCCCAGGCGCAGGCCCAACAGCAGCAGGCGCUUGCCAACGCCAUUCAACAGAUCCUACAGGUGGUCCCAAACACCUUCAUCACCUCGCAUCAGCAGGCUCAGGCGCAGCAGCAACAGCAACGGAGCCACUGAGGCGCUUCGAGGAGGGCCAGAGCGCGCAUCAUGUACAAAUACGCGCUGGGCCACCUGCCCAAGGACCGAACGCAGGAGCUAUUUAAGGCCUACACCAUACACGACAAGAAGUACAGCAAUCGGAAUGGCAUCGAGGAGCUGAUACCGCACAAGCAGUUCACAUUCAGCAAGCUGUGGCUGCUCUACGCCCAGUUCGAUAUCCGCUACAAGAAGCUGCAGCGGGUUCGCAAGGCCCUUGGCCUGGCCAUCGGUAUGUGUCUGCGCGACAAGCUCGUUUUCGGCUACAAUUGCGCAAGUUCGAGCGCUGCCGGCUGCUGUACGAGCAGUUCCUGGAGUUCGGAGCGGAGAACUGUAUCACAUGGAUGAAGUUCGCCGAGCUGGAGAACUUCCAGGACAACACGGAGCGGAGCAGCACCGCUGUGGCGGCGGCACUCUUUUCUUACGUGUGUAUACAUAAAAUUAACUAACUUUCAAUUUUACAGUCCCGUUCCUGAAAGAAACGGCUUAUUUUCAUAUAUCGGUAUAUACCGAUAACGACAGCACAAAAUCAAAAUACCUUUGUACGAUAACGAGCCUAAAGUGGUGAAACAUGAGCUGGCCAUACUACAAAACGCUUGUGAAAAAUAAGCUGGUCACACUACAAAAAAGCUUUAAAUGUAAGGAUGGCAGACUAGCUUAUUUCAAGAUAGAUUUAAAGCUCUGCUACAAUAUUGGUAAAAGGACAUCUCUAAUUUUCACCUCGUGCAGUAAAAUUAUUUUAUUUUAUAAUUAAUUAAGUAAGAAAAGAAAUACAGAAGCUAUGGAACGGCCCCAAAAGAUGGCCAUGGUGAACAACAUGGCGCCAGCGGAGGUGCAGAUAACGGCAAAGUAGCUGCUCCAUGAGGCCAAGAAACGGGACUUGGAGAUUCAGGCCCAACAGCAGCAGCAAGUGACCGCCCAGCAAAAGCAGGCGGCGGCGCAGGCUCAGCAUCAACAGAGGGAACAGCAGCAGCAGCAGCAACUGGUCAAAUCCCAGGCGCAGGCCCAACAGCAGCAGGCGCUUGCCAACGCCACUCAGCAGAUCCUACAGGUGGCCCCAAACACCUUCAUCACCUCGCACCAGCAGGCUCAGGCGCAGCAGCAACAGCAACGGGAGCCCUGUCCAACGGAGAAGCCACUAAGGCGCUUCGAGGAG